AAAAAUUAUAAAAAGGAAACCCCACCCCACCGUCUGGACUUCUGCCUAACUGUCGGUGCACUGGUGGAGCGCCUCCGGAUUUCGGAGAAUACCGGUCUCGGUGUAUCGCUGUACAGUGUUUUCGCCACGAUUCGGUGCAUUUUACUUUUUGAAACGGCUUUUGUUCAAGUUGCAGGAAACCCGCUGCAUCGGUUAUUUUAGUCCUGACGCCAGCUAAUGGCGUUACAGCCUUCAAUUUCACAGUGGGGAAAAAUUACAGUGUUUGUUAUUUACUUUCUAUCUGCCAUUUAAAAUGCAACUUCAAAGCCUGCUGUGUUCAAGGAAUAUGGGAAAUUACACCGAAAAUGAGAUUAAAAUAGAGGAGAGUGAGUUGGAAAUGUUGUUUUUUUAUUUAAGGAAUCUGUUGCUGCGUGUGACACCUCUUGCAAGCUCCCAGAGAGAAUUGAUGGAGCAUACAGCUAGGGAAUGGGAUGCCAGAGAAGCACAGAGGAAGAAAUCAUGCAAUCGCCAGGAUGGGAAGGGACCGCAUCCAUUGGAUAUGGGACGAGAUCACUCUGCAACCCUUGUGGAUUCUCCUUCUUCUAGAGGGGAAUUAUAGUUAUGGAUUUAUUGUCCCGGUGCAGCACUUCCACCACCAGCAGCAGCAGCAACAGCAGCAGCUUUCUGACUCUCUUCGGUGAC
rnacentral:lncRNA from 1 species